rnacentral:rRNA from 1 species
AUUACCUCAGUAACGGCGAGUGAAGCGGUAACAGCUCAAAUUUGAAAGCUAGCUCUUUUAGGGUUCGCAUUGUAAUUUGUAGAAGAUGCUUCGGGUGUGGCCCCGGUCUAAGUUCCUUGGAACAGGACGUCAUAGAGGGUGAGAAUCCCGUAUGUGACUGGGUGCUUUCGCUCAUGUGAAGCUCUUUCGACGAGUCGAGUUGUUUGGGAAUGCAGCUCAAAAUGGGUGGUAAAUUUCAUCUAAAGCUAAAUAUUGGCCAGAGACCGAUAGCGCACAAGUAGAGUGAUCGAAAGAUGAAAAGCACUUUGGAAAGAGAGUUAAACAGUACGUGAAAUUGUUGAAAGGGAAGCGCUUGCAACCAGACUUGCGCGCUGAUGAUCAUCCGGGCUUCUGCCCGGUGCACUCGUCUGCGCUCAGGCCAGCAUCGGUUUCGGUGGUGGGAUAAAGGCCUUGGGAAUGUAGCUCCUCUCGGGGAGUGUUAUAGCCCUCGGUGCAAUGCCGCCUACCGGGACCGAGGACCGCGCUUCGGCUAGGAUGCUGGCGUAAUGGUUGUAAGCGACCCGUCUUGAAACACGGACCAAGGAGUCUAACAUCUAUGCGAGUGUUUGGGUGUCAAACCCAUACGCGUAAUGAAAGUGAACGGAGGUGAGAACCCUUAAGGGUGCAUCAUCGACCGAUCCUGAUGUCUUCGGAUGGAUUUGAGUAAGAGCAUAGCUGUUGGGACCCGAAAGAUGGUGAACUAUGCGUGAAUAGGGUGAAGCCAGAGGAAACUCUGGUGGAGGCUCGCAGCGGUUCUGACGUGCAAAUCGAUCGUCAAAUUUGCGUAUAGGGGCGAAAGACUAAUCGAACCAUCUAGUAGCUGGUUCCUGCGUC